rnacentral:misc_RNA from 1 species
UUUCCGUAGGUGAACCUGCGGAAGGAUCAUUAACACGAGAUGCGCGACACAAUAUCAUUCUGUUGUGCGAGGGAGUGAUGGAGGUUCCGCAAGGAAUUGAAGUCUCUUCCUCGUAUCUUGAUACUAUACAACAAUAUAGUAUUUUGUACAAGUUUUCGAAAGAAAAACUAAGAAAAUUUUCAACGAUGGAUAUCUUGGUUCCC